UCUCGGCUCUCGCAUCGAUGAAGAACGUAGCGAAAUGCGAUACUUGGUGUGAAUUGCAGAAUCCCGUGAACCAUCGAGUCUUUGAACGCAAGUUGCGCCCGAAGCCAUUCGGCCGAGGGCACGUCUGCCUGGGCGUCACGCAU
rnacentral:rRNA from 49 species